rnacentral:rRNA from 1 species
AGAGGGAGCAAGCGUUGUUCGGAAUUACUGGGCGUAAAGGGCGCGUAGGCGGUCUUGCAAGUCCUGUGUGAAAUCCCUCGGCUCAACUGAGGAACUGCACAGGAAACUGCUUGGCUUGAGUUCGGGAGAGGGAAGCGGAAUUCCGGGUGUAGCGGUGAAAUGCGUAGAUAUCCGGAGGAACACCGGUGGCGAAGGCGGCUUCCUGGACCGACACUGACGCUGAGGCGCGAAAGCUAGGGGAGCAAACGGGAUUAGAUACCCCGGUAGUCCUAGCUGUAAACGAUGAGCGCUGGGUGUAGGGGGUAUCAACCCCUCCUGUGCCGAAGCUAACGCAUUAAGCGCUCCGCCUGGGGAGUACGGUCGCAAGGCUG